rnacentral:rRNA from 1 species
GUCCACGCCCUAAACGAUGACAACUAGUUGUUGGGGAUUUAACAUCCUUAGUAACGUAGCUAACGCGUGAAGUUGUCCGCCUGGGGAGUACGGUCGCAAGAUUAAAACUCAAAGGAAUUGACGGGGGCCCGCACAAGCGGUGGAUGAUGUGGUUUAAUUCGAUGCAACGCGUAAAACCUUACCUACCCUUGACAUGCUAGGAAGCCCGAUGAGAGUUGGGUGUGCCCGAAAGGGAGCCUAGACACAGGUGCUGCAUGGCUGUCGU